GCGCACAUCUUGUGUGUUUCCUCAACCUUAAUUUUGCCAGCAAAUAUUCUGCCUAUUUUACUGGCCUUCUACUCUGCUCCCUGUAAUUAAGUGACAGGCACGUUCUUAGAGCAGUUUCAAAAUAUUGUCGUAACAAAUUUUCAUAAACCCUCGGUCAGCUGCUACCUCCCGUUUAAAGAAGGUGAUCCACUAUCAGACAUAGGAUCACUAAAAAUGUCGGUGCUAAACCUAAGCGAGGAUAUGGUAGAAUGCCCGCUGUGUAUGGAGCCACUGGAGAUGGACGAUUUAAAUUUCUUCCCUUGUACUUGUGGUUACCAAAUAUGUCGGUUCUGUUGGCAUCGGAUCCGUACAGAUGAAAAUGGUCUUUGCCCGGCCUGUAGGAAGGCUUACCCUGAAAAUCCUGCAGAUUUCAAGCCUUUAUCGCAUGAAGAUUUACAGCGAAUAAAGCAGGAAAAACGUCAAAAGGAUGCACAACGUAAACAAAAAGUAACUGAAAACCGGAAGCAUUUGGCUAAUGUUCGUGUUGUGCAGAAAAAUCUUGUGUUUGUGGUUGGCCUCUCUACACGGUUAGCUGAUGCAGAGACAUUAAAGAAACCAGAAUACUUUGGAAAAUUUGGAAAAAUACAUAAAGUUGUUAUUAAUCAUAGCACUAGUUAUGCUGGGGCUCAGGGUCCAAGUGCAUCAGCAUACGUGACUUACCAGAGAGCGGAGGAUGCACUUAGAGCCAUUCAAGCGGUAAAUAACAUUCAUGUAGAUGGGCGGACAUUGAAGGCCUCCUUGGGAACCACCAAGUAUUGCUCCCACUUCAUGAAGAACCAGCAGUGUCCCAAACCUGACUGCAUGUAUCUUCAUGAAUUAGGAGAUGAAUCUGCAAGUUUUACUAAAGAAGAAAUGCAACAAGGAAAACACCAAGAAUUUGAAAAGAAACUUCAAGAUCAAUAUUUAGGCAAUCCAGCAUCGGAAAAAAAUAGCACGACUGUAUCUCCACCUCAAGCAACCACCGCAGGAAAUUCCAAUUCGAAUAAAAGAACAUCAGGAGGGGGUAAAGAAAAUACUGCCCCCAAAAAUCAAGAUACAAAUAAUCCGAAUACUAACUCUGGUGAGGCUUGGCCAUCGCUCAGUGCUGUAGCUACUAAAGAGAGUAAAAAAUCGAAAGGCAGUAAAUCUGAUAGAAGUAACUGCUCGGCAAGACACACGCCGAUAGACGAACCCAAUAAUAACAGUAAUAUUAACAAUAAUAAAAGAGGGAGUAAAGAGAGAGAUCGAUCUUGCAAUACCAGCAGCAGCAGCAGUAGUAGCAGCAGCAGCAACAGCAAUGGUAGCUCAAGUGGAAGCAGUAGCAGCUGUAGUAAUGGCUUGAGUGUAGAUAUGAUGAGUCACAGUGUUAGCCCUGUGGCCACAUCACCAUCAUCAGGUCAUGAGAGCUGCACGUCUUCUGCUUCUACUACCCCACCCCCAUCCUUUGAUAACCCUCUUCUUCCACCCUCUCCUCCACCUUGUUCUUCAUCACCUGUACCAGUGUCAUGUGUACAGGAUUUAUGUCAAGAAGAGAACUCUCCAUUACCCACUCCCCCCUCCUCGUUAUCGUCUUCCUCCGAACCGUCGUCAUCACUCCCACUACCGCAACAGUUUUCCUGUUCUGCUGCUGCUGCUGCCUCCCUCUUCUCGGAUAACAGUAACAGUUUCUUCUCUUCUGGGCCAUCACUUCCUCUCCAGCGAACACCACCACCCCUUCCACCAGCAUUUUCACAACAGAAUUGUCAACUUCACAACAAUCAUAACAGUCAUCAGAAUUCACAUGACACCACCUCUGAUUGGGCCAGCAAACCAUCUGAAGUAUUUGAUAUGGAUAUGUUUCCCUCUCAAAAUCACUCGCAUAGUACUUGGAAUUGCAUAUUUGAUUUUGAAAAGAGUGAAGACAUGACAGGAGUUAAUUUAGCUGAUGAUGAGUUAGGUUUUGACCCAUUCGAAGAAACAAACAAAGCAUUAGCCGAAGAUAUAAAAAUUGAACAAAAGCAGCAGCAGCUUCAGCGGCAUCAGCAACAGUUCAGUCAACACCAACAUCAAACCCAGCUACAGUCUCACCACCACCACCAUCACCACCACCACCAUCACCAGCAACAGCAGCAUCACCACAAUCAUCAUAAUCAACAACAUCAACAGCAGCAAUUAAGAGCUGGUCUAAAAGCAUUGAUGGACUAUUCAACGCCUAGUGGACAGUCUCGAGCUAGAUUGCCACCACCAGGCUUUAAUGGUUUAAACAGUUUUAAUUCAUAUAGUAUGCCGAGACAAAAUCAGACCGAGCCCAGUAAACUGCUGCCACCAUUCUUAGGUGGGAUAACAGGGACUCCCAACCUGGGCACUCCUGGACUUGGUUCCACCUCUUCUGUACCUCCAACGCUCAAUGGCUUGGUGGGAUCUAGUGGUUUAGGUGUACCUCCAGGUUUGGGUGGAAGUCUACUUAGUAAUAGCACCACUAAUGGGCUUGGUAGUGGUGGUUUACCAGGGGGACUCAGUAAUGGUUUACCCCCUCACUUGCUAUCAACUGCCUCCCUCUUAAGUAUGGACACACCUCUUAGUGCCUCACAAGGUCCGCCAGGUAUAGAGUUGCCCAAAGGCGAUGCGUUCCUCCUCAAAGACUUAGAAAACGGCCUCCGCAAUAUAUUCCCAGCCAUCAGCUCAGUGAGCACUAUGAACACACUUAAUACAGUGAACACAUUAAAUUCACUUGCUGGAGGAACUAAUAACCCAACCUCGCAAAACAACCCAUUAACAAAUUUCCUAAAUAUGGCCCAUCAACAGCACCACCAUCAGCAGCAGCAGCAACACCACCACCAUCACCACCACCACCACCACCAGCAGCAGCAGCAGCAGCAGCAGCAGCAGCAGCAUUCUUCACAGCAGUCUCUUCUACACCAACUAACAAUGAGCUCUCUUGCAAAUUCUCACAAAGGUUGGAAUACCAGUGUUGGUCCUGAUCUGACAGUUAUCGACCCAGCAAUUGUCUCAUCAGGGCAGCUGACAGAUUCACGGUCAGAUUCUCCUCCCCACUGGAUGAAAACAAUGGAACAGCUCACAGAGGGUGGGCCACCCCACCCACUCUGGAAUAAUCUAAUGCCAUACAACCUAACUCCUGGCUUGCCAACUGGUUUGGGUCCUCAUACUAGCCCCUCGGGUCCUACGGCUCCCACACAGCGCUCCGUGGCACCCAUGUGGCCCCCAACUUCACCACCGCCGGGUUUUAACUCCAUCUCGCCCCUACAUCAUCCCAAGCAACACGAACCACACAAAAUUGAAAAAUAUUUUUCUUCAAAAAUCAGACACUAGGGAAGAAGUAUUGUACCCUGAAAGAUGUUUGAUACAAAAGGCAAGAACUAUUAGGGGAAAAAAUUGUCAAUUCUCAAGAUCUCUAAUAGCAGUAAAUGGAGAAUUUUAUAUCGUGUAUAAAUGAAGAGGAAGAAUUAUAGAAGAAUUUAUUAUAUUGAGCUCCAAACCCUUGUCAACCUAUUGGAAACCAUUUAGGGGAACAGCCUGCCAGUCGUAUAGCCACUUACUGAUGCAUUGUUUAGACAAAAAAAAAAAUGGUAGAAGGAAAGUGGACAUGUUUUUUUUCCUUUUUUUUUUUUCUUUAACUGGGUAGUUCAAGCAUCGUGAUAUACUUAUCUUGGUUCGGUGAGUUUAUAGUCUAUUGGAAGUAAUAAAAUGGAGUUAAAUUGUUAUAAUUUUUAUUUAUAACAUGCAGAGCUUUACCAGACUUUCCCUUUACUGUUUUUGGCAGCCUUUUUAACUUGUUGCAUGCAUUGAAAGUCCUAUUAUUUAUUACUGUUAUAAUCCUAUUGCACUUGGCAGAUGGGACUUGUCUUAUUGCCUCUAGCUAAUGUUUCUGCAAGACUAGUCAGGCAUUUUCAAUUGGAUUUAUUUUUCACUGGAAUCCUGUUAAUGUGGUGUCCACUCUUGUCUAGAAUUGCAACUAGACUUGUGGCAGACGUUAUUGCAUGUUCCCAACAAUUUUUUGGCAUUAAACCAAAAAUUAAAAAAAAAUCUCUAGCACAUGGUUAAGUUUGAUAUCUACAGGAGUGAUGAUAAUUACGCUUUUUAUGCAAGUGUCUGGAGUGCUGGAUACUAAGGGAGUUCUAGCAUUAAUUUCACUGUCAAACAGGUUUGAUUAGCACCAUCAUUGAAUGAGUAUAGUGUGAAACUUGCAUUUUUUUAGUUUUUUAAUGUUAUAACUUCUGUGCCUAAGAUAUUAGACAGAAGGUACUUUAUAAAGUUUGACUGAAUUCUUUGAUUGAAUCUAAUUUAUAUUGCCAUGUAGCUCAUAUCUUAUGUGUACCCUUUAUUAUAAACAGUAUACUGUACAAAGUUUUAUAAGCUCACAGGUCAACAAAAACUAGACAUUCCCUUAAAAAUGUUUUGAAAUAGACAAAACUUGUAAGCUUUUGUUUUCCUGUGAGACUGCAAGAACAUUAAACAAACCUGGCAUCA